rnacentral:rRNA from 1 species
CCGACGUCGCAUGCUCCCGGCCGCCAUGGCGGCCGCGGGAAUUCGAUUAGAGUUUGAUCAUGGCUCAGGACGAACGCUGGCGGCGUGCCUAACACAUGCAAGUGGAGCGACGGACCAGGGCUUGCCCUGGGGCCAAGCCGCGAACGGGUGAGUAACACGUGGGUAACCUGCCCCGAUGACCGGGACAACCCGAGGAAACUCGGGCUAAUACCGGAUGUUCUCUCCGCACUCAAGUGCGGUGAGAAAAGGAAGCUUCGGCCUCCGCUUCGGGAGGGGCCCGCGGCCCAUUAGCUUGUUGGUGAGGUAACGGCUCACCAAGGCUGCGAUGGGUAGCUGGUCUGAGAGGACGAUCAGCCACACUGGGACUGAGACACGGCCCAGACUCCUACGGGAGGCAGCAGUGGGGAAUCUUGCGCAAUGCGCGAAAGCGUGACGCAGCAACGCCGCGUGGGGGAAGAAGGCCUUCGGGUUGUAAACCCCUUUCAGUUGGGACGAAGGUUCGGCCGUUAAUAGCGGUCCGGACUGACGGUACCUUCAGAAGAGCCCCGGCUACUACGUGCCAGCAGCCGCGGUAUACGAAUCACUAGUGAAUUCGCGGCCGCCUGCAGGUCGACCAUAUGGGAGAGCUCCCAACGCGUG